rnacentral:lncRNA from 1 species
CCGUAUCCCCCUCCUUUCCACAGCUCGAUCUCCUCUUCCUCUGUGGCAGCGCGUCCGGGCACCAUUGCCAUCAACACGAGAGCCGCGAAGGGGAGGAAUCCUCUCGCCAUGUCUGCCUCAAUCGCUGAUGGUUAUGGUGGGUUUUCUUUCUUCUUUGCCCUCUUGGUAAGGAUGGCAAUUUAUAAAAAUCAAGGGAAGGUAGGAGACUAGUGGGCUGGUGUUUUGCCUCGGAAUCCCUCUUCUCCCCCCUGACUCCCUGGCCUCCUCUCUCUCCCUCUCUGUGAACCAGGAAGUGUUGGCAGUGUGAAUGGAGAUGGAGAAGACUGCAGGGGCGGCGAAUUCUGUCUUGGCUUUGAAGAAGAAGAAGAAGAGGACGUCGGGGAUUUUCUCUUUCUUCCACCCUCAGCCCACCCCCUUCUUCUUGAUCCCCCCUGUUAACAGGUGUAGGCUUGAAGCCUAAGGGAGCGACCUUCCCUUUAUCCUUGAACUUCGCUUCACUACACAACCACGUUUCUCCGCCGUCCCCUCCUCCU